UUGCGCAAGGUAGCUCCUGAAAGAUGUAUUGAUCGUAUACGCGCCAUGACACAAAAUCCACAUAUACGUGCAUCUUGGGCAGACACCGGUCAUGUGCAGGUCAUACUUUAUGUCUUUAAAAGAAGACUGCAAGAAUUGUAGACAUUUGUGGGAACCUACAUUUGUGGACAUAUUGCAAGCUGGAGGAUCUACAAGUAUGGAACUAAGAUAGGAAGCUGAAGUUCCAUCUUGACCAUGUUCUCCCCUGGUCGGGUCGGAGGUGAAGAUUGGCAAAGUUCAUCAUUCAACGGUGAGGUGCUCAUAGAAAAGAAAGCGUCGCCCAACAAGUGGUAGAUUUUUAUGGGGUCUCGCUUAAACGUUGGGGAGAUCUAUAGAUCUGGAUAAAGUCUCGCCCAUAGAUAGAGGAAAAGUACGGACGCUAACGUGCUACGGCUUACGUAGUUCCGUGAAAAAGCGCGAACUAGUGCUCACUGACUGAACACACAUUGCAGUUUCAUCAGAGGAGGCUGCAACUUUUGGGGGGCCAAUUGGGCAGGCAACAAAAGUUGCAAUUAUGAUUGGCUUUGGCACACUUGUUACCCUUGCAAGUUUCAAGACAGAAAAAACAGGUAAGCAUAUUACCGAACAGAGAAGACUAGAUAUCAUGCUACAGGAUCAUGAGUAUUUAUUUUAAUUUCCAUUUCCGUAAAACACUGACAACAGUUGAUCUGCGAAUAACAUCUUAAAAGUAUCAAGUUCAAAUUGGUUUUAUAAUUCCCUUAUGCUUCAUAUUAUAGAAAAAUAGUUUUGUGUGACUGUAAUAUCAUGCGUGACGGUAUUAAUCAACUUUUGUUAUAAUACGUAUGCCCAAUGACGAAGCUACAUAGGGGCAAGGAGUGGCGACCGCCCCUUCCCUCGUCGGAAAUGAAGCCCAGGAGCAAGUAUCCGCCCCUCCUCUCACCGGAAAUGAACCCCUGUUUUAUGCUGCUGUUGAGCAGGUGCUGCGCGCGACAGUUCAGUUUUCUGAAAACCCCAAGCCAAACGGCGUCGUAUUGGACAUAAAAGAAAACCCCCUUAAGUAGAACGGUGUCGUUUGUAUUCAUUGAAAAACAUAAAUAAAUAAGACUGACAUAUGGAGACCACUCGUCCAAAUUAACCUUAUUGGAGCCCCCACAAACUAGCUCGAGAAGAUACGACAACCUUCAAGCCAUUGCCCAGAUUCCCUCUUCGCGCCUUCGCCGUUCCCCUCCAAGUUCCAACCUUCAAGCCAAGCCACUGCCCAGCUUCAAAGGCUUUCAUAGCUUACCUGAAUUCCUCUCCAAAACUUGACAACAACAAUAUAUAAGCUUAUAGCUUACCUGAAUUCCUCCAAGCUGGCCCUUUCAUCUUGAUUGAACCUCCAAAUGACACAAUUGAAGUCAAGAACACUUGAAACAUGAGAUUAAAGUCUAGUUUGUAUAAAUUCCCGAAUUAAAAAAAAUAAAAUUCCAAACCUAAUUGCAUUUCCAAAUCCUUUACCUAAACUUGUUUGGCUCGACUCACUAAAUCCGUAGGCGAAAACCUUUUGUCAAAUCGACAAGCAAAAAGAAAGUUACGAGUUUCCAAUGAUUUUUUAUAGGUAAAACAGAGGGAAGCUAAGCUUUUCGGAGAAGCCGAGAUUGAUAAGAAUAUGAAGAACCAUAUAGCAUUUGGUUUAAAAUUAAACCCACGUGGUAUAUUUUGGGACUUUGUAAUGUGGUGAAACUAGAUUUCACCUCAUAAGCAAUUAUGACGCUGCAUAGUACUUUUUCAUCAUUAAAAAACAUAGUGAUAUUUUUUGUGAAUUUCGAGAGUUGUGAAAACUAUAAGUUAGUGUAUAAGCUUUUUACAUUGGUUUUGGAGUUACCGGUUGCAACUGCUUCAAUGGAAAGAGCAUUUUCUACUAUAACUGUUGUGAAAACACCAUUGCAUAACAAAAUAGGAGCUCAAUAGUUGUAGGAUAGCAUGGUUGUUUAAAUUGAGAGAUAUAUUUGUGCUUUUAUUGAUAGUGAGUCUAUUAUGCGACAUUUUCACAACAUGAAAUGUUGCCAAUAACAAUUGUAAUUUGUUUGUAUUUAUAAAUUAUUAUCGACAUUAAUAUUGUCUACCAUAUAUCUAAAGGGAUUUAGUUAUCUACAUUUAUGCGACCUCUUACCUUUUUAUAUUUCGCCCCUCCUCCCAAAAAUUUCUGGCUUCACCACUACAUAUGCCUACCCAUCAUUAGUUUUAGUGGAGAAGGAGGCCCCCACUUCAAUUGAAAUCGCAGAAUCUCUUUAUGUCGGUGCAGACGAAAAUAUUCAAUGAAUGCUCUUUGAUGGUCAUCCCAAUGAGUUGAUCGAUAGUAGUGUAUAUGUAGCAAUAGGACAUACAUAUAGCUAUGUCCAACUGUAAAAGUACUGACUUGUGUGAGAAAAAAAGGAGAUGGAUUGUCUGCCCUUCCCAUCCUAUACUAUUUCCAUCCCCUCUUAUUUGUAUGAGAAAAUGUUGACGUGGCUUAACCGUGACCACAUAAUAGUAGGGGAUGGGAAGAGUAUGAGAUGGGGAGGGCAGACAAUCCAUCUUCGGGAAAAAAAUGUAAAAGAGUGAGUGGUGGUUGUGGUGUGGUUAAGGUUGUAAUUUAACUUGAUAAUUGUAUUUAAUCUUUCAAUUUAAAAAGCGAUGAUUCAUGAA